ncrna:unclassified sequences IS605-orfB-I RNA
GCCUUAUAAAGAUGUAUGAACGCAAGACAGUUUGGCAUCUCCCUUUAAGGCCUUGUUCAAUUAGAAACUUCAGUGAUAAGUCUUAUUGCGUGGCAUUCGUCGAAAUGAGAUGAAUUGAAGUGGAAUAGGUUAACGGUUAGACCUUGAAUUGAAAAAUUCUAAAAUUGAUCUCAAAGGUAAUUAUUACUUUUUAAUACUUCUGAGUAACCGUCGA